rnacentral:piRNA from 1 species
UACGCCAAUGUGAGACCGCAGGUUGCA